AUUGAACGCUGGCGGCAGGCUUAACACAUGCAAGUCGAGCGGGGGAAGGUAGCUUGCUACUGGACCUAGCGGCGGACGGGUGAGUAAUGCUUAGGAAUCUGCCUAUUAGUGGGGGACAACAUCUCGAAAGGGAUGCUAAUACCGCAUACGUCCUACGGGAGAAAGCAGGGGAUCUUCGGACCUUGCGCUAAUAGAUGAGCCUAAGUCGGAUUAGCUAGUUGGUGGGGUAAAGGCCUACCAAGGCGACGAUCUGUAGCGGGUCUGAGAGGAUGAUCCGCCACACUGGGACUGAGACACGGCCCAGACUCUUACGGGAGGCAGCAGUGGGGAAUAUUGGACAAUGGGGGAAACCCUGAUCCAGCCAUGCCGCGUGUGUGAAGAAGGCCUUAUGGUUGUAAAGCACUUUAAGCGAGGAGGAGGCUACUUUAGUUAAUACCUAGAGAUAGUGGACGUUACUCGCAGAAUAAGCACCGGCUAACUCUGUGCCAGCCGCCGCAGUAA
rnacentral:rRNA from 1 species